rnacentral:pre_miRNA from 8 species
UUGAUAGAAACCAGUUGAGGUCAACUCUAACUUUAGCAUCUUUCUUUUAAGCAAAGUAGAAAGUGCUAUCAAGUUGGGGUAGAUGUUUGCUGA